rnacentral:rRNA from 1 species
AUUGAACGCUGGCGGCAUGCCUUACACAUGCAAGUCGAACGGUAACAGGUUAAGCUGACGAGUGGCGAACGGGUGAGUAAUACAUCGGAACGUGCCCCGACGUGGGGGAUAGCUCGGCGAAAGCCGGAUUAAUACCGCAUGUGAUCUGAGGAUGAAAGCGGGGGACCGUAAGGCCUCGCGCUGGUGGAGCGGGCGAUGGCAGAUGAGGUAGUUGGUGGGGUAAAGGCUUACCAAGCCUACAAGCUGUAGCUGGCCUGAGAGGACGACCAGCCACACUGGGACUGAGACACGGCCAAGACUCCUACGGGAGGCAGCAGUGGGAAAUUUUGGACAAUGGGCGAAAGCCUGAUCCAGCAAUGCCGCGUGCAGGAUGAAGGCCUUCGGGUUGUAAACUGCUUUUGUACGGAACGAAAAGGCGCCUACUAAUACUGGGUGUUGAUGACGGUACCGUAAGAAUAAGCACCGGCUAACUACGUGCCAGCCGCCGCCGUAAUAC